AGAAGCCUCCCAGUCCAUAGAACCUGGCAAUGAUGAGGUACUUCCCAAGUAUUCUUCAGUCAUCUCAACCAAACUUAUUAGGAUUUCUUCAAUGUGACAGGGGCUAUCAUGUCUGCAGAACAUGUCAACUGACUGAAGUUCUUCCUGACUGAUUCUCCACUAUCUCAGGCAAACUUGUUUUUGCCUUCCUCCUCAAUGUACGACUGACUUCCUCACCCUCAUUUGCUUACACUGCAGUAAUUCAGAAUCUGGUAACCAGGCUCCUUGUGCAUUGAAAGCUAAUGAUCCCUCCUUCUCCCUGUUGCAGAGGGAGCACAUGUAAAGCUUAACUGGAAUAUAUAUUUUUAUAGGGCUUAUUGAACUUUCUUUAAACAAAUCUGUAUGUUUGUUUCCAUAAGUCAGAGAAAACAGUCAUGUUUCUGAAAAAUAAAGAAAAACUACAGUUAAAUAUACUACUUUCCUUUAGAAAUAGAAGCUAAUCAAAAUCAAUUUUAAAAACAUUAGUUUACACCUUCCCAAAUUGAAAAUCUGUCUCAAACUUUGAGCAAAAUUUCAUAAAUCAUUAAGGUUCAAUGUUGAAACAAAAAAAGUGAGAAAGUCAAUUAUAGAAUAUAAUGAUUUAAUCAACUCCUUCAGUGCUUCAGAGGCAUGUCAUUGAUGAAACAGGAAAGUUCAGCGCAUUUCCUUAUUAAUAUAACAGAGUAGGGGAUUUUCUAGCCAACAGGGGCCUAUGGGAGACUCACAGUAAACAGACAGAUGCUAGCACUCUCAGAUGUACAGAUAGCAGCAGACCAAUCAUUUUAGAAAUGUGAAAGGGGGUCAAAGUGGUUUUGUUCUUACUUGGGUCUGCAGAUGAGACCAUGGUCUAACAACACAUAAUUUACAGCCUAGUAAGACCCAGAGGAAAAUGCUCAGCCAGGCUGUACUCAGAGACCCAAUACCUUGAGAUGUUAGGUCAUGAAUACACCAGUGUUUAAGUCACUGAUUGGGGAAUAAUUAUUUUACCUAAUGCUCAAUAGACAUUGUACACUUUAGGGAAUCUUUUUUCUUUUUUAUAUGCUUCCCAUAAGAACCUCAAAGAGAUAAUGUGCUACCUUAUAUUUGUUUCAUAAGUAAAUUCUCUUAAAUAUCCGACCACUUUGGGGUGGAUCUGAGUUUUCUUUCACUGAAAAUCUCUUACACAUGUUACUUUAGAAAUUCAAAACUCUACACAAAAGGCCGCAGCAUGACAAUUUAUAAGACUAAGAGGUCAUAAAAUAGGAAAUACAGAUAACUUGAUCCCAGAAAAUAUUGGUGUAUAACAAGAAAAAUAACCUGUCUUUCUAAAAUAUUUUAUGUCUUUAACUAUAUUUAUGCAGGUAGCAAAGUAGAUAUAUUGACUGAGAGAUUUGAAUGAUGUUAAUGAUGAUGUUGGUUCUCUAAGUGUCUUGAUAAAUGGGUUUCAAAUGUUCAAGAUUCCUUUCUUAUUUGACUAACAUCCUUUAAACCUCCUCAAUAUGUAAUUUCAGAAUGCUAUUGUUGCUGAUGAUAGUGAUGAUCAUGAGGAUAAAGAUGAAAUUGGCUUUUUAUGGAUCACUGAGAUCAAUCAAGAAUAGACUCUUAGUGAACCCUAUUGGUCUUGGGCAUAGCCAUCUCAGCAAAACAUGAAAAUAAAACUCAAAGAAUUAAUACGGUCAAUUUUGAACUACAAAAUUUUUUAUAUAUUUUUGUUAGAUUUUUAUGUUUUGUGGCAUUUCCCUUUGCACUAUAUGAUAUGCCACACGAUUCUUGGCAUCUUUCACAGAUAUCUCUGCAUGUCGACAAUGUCCUAUGAAUAGUAGCAUCACCUCCAAUGAGGACCAUUAAGAUUAGAGUACUAGUAAGAUUGCCAUUUUAAUACUAGUAAUUAACAAUGUAGCAAAAUUGACUUAAACAUUUCUUUAUAUAUCAUUCAACUCAGAUCAUUAUGAUUUCAGAAUCAUUUAGAAAACUUAUUACUCUCAUCCAGGUUUUUAUUUUUUGCAAAAGUCAUUGAAGGGGUAUGGCUUAGGUGCUCUAGUAGCUAAUAGUUUGGUAGUGAAAACAAGGUAUCCACAAAUAAGUAAAUGUGUCAUGACCUGUCCUAAUUGUCACAGAAGUAUCAGUAAUUACAUACAAGUUCAUGUUAAGGGUGAAGCGGCUUAAGUAACAGAAAAAUAACUUCAACAGAGUGAACCGGUCACUAGAAUUUAAAUACCCAGAAUUGGGUAAUUUAGAUAUCAAAUUCAUUAUGAAAUAUCUUAUCAGAAAGAGUAUCUGACACAUAUUUUCAAGAUUUCUUUGUUUUUUUUUAAUUUUUAAGAAUUUCAUUCAGAUAUACAAUGAAAUAUUAUCAUAUCCAUUGCCAUUUCUCACUUUUUAUUUCCAUGCUAUACCUCUGCCACAUCCCUCUCCCAACUUCAUGUCCACUUUUUUGCUGUGUUUUUGAAAACUUGUUACGUCUAGUUAAUGCUACUCACAUGUGCCUAAGAAUGGGGCCAUCUACUGGACUAUGUACAACCUAUACAAAUGACCAAAUACACACACACACACACACACACACACACACACACACACACACACACAGAGUGAGCCUCCAUGCCAAGUCACUAUCAACUGGUAAUAACUAUUCAGUGAAGGAUAGUGCCUGGAGAAGGUCAUUUCCAUCAACAACAGAACAUUUUGACUUGAUCGUUAUGUGGGUAAUCAUAAUUGCUAUAUGUUUAUAAUAUGCAUGUCACACACAGAAGACAGCAUUUCACAUCACUCUUCUACAGUUUGGAUGCAAUUGUUGGCUUUCAGUAAACCUCAGUAUGUCUCUCCACUAUUUGUGUUUUUAUUUUAUUUUUUUAUGGUGCUCAGGAUGUCAUCCAGGACCUCAUGUAUGCUAAUAAAGUGGUCUGCCACUGAGCCACAACUCCAACUCAUAGUUGUUAUGGAAAUACGAUAAAGUAAAUUGUCUCACCAGUGGAUCAGGUGCUUAUUUAGGAGACAGGCUUUUAGGAUUGGACUAACUAUUGACAGAGAAGAAGCAGCAGGACAAAUGAUGCUGUAACCACAUCUGCAGAAUGGGCAGAGAGAAAACCACCUGACAAUCCAAAGUUGGAUGGGAGUUCGGGACAACUAGAGCUCUCAAAUGGUACCUGCAGAGAUGGGAGCUGGUCCUGCCCUGUGGAAGACAGGCAAGUGCUGCUCUGCAUUUAAUACACAGCAAACACGCAACACAGAGAGCAAGCUGCUAUGUGUUUGCUCAAGUAAACUAAGCAGUGUCCUCAUGAACUGCUUAUCUGUAAUUGCUUCCAGUGGCAUCAACUGAAAUAAUUAAUUGUAUCAAAUAGUUGUCAAAAGCAAUUAUACAGAAAACAAGAAGGAUCUUCUUAUACAUGCAGCAGCACUGGUGAAACUCAAAUGCAUUAUUCUCGUAAAAAAAAAAACCCAGACAUAUAGUGUAAAAUUCCUAUCAAGUCCAAUAACUGGCGAACUAUACCAUACAUGAGUUACUUCAAAGGUCAAUAUGAUGAGGACACUGUGAGGGAUUCAUCCUUGAAAGUUGCUAUGUAGAUGAUGCGACUAUGCAGAGAAAAUAUUUUUUUGUAUCAGCAUAAAAUAUUUUUAUAAAACAAACAAAAUAUUCCCAGGAAGCAACAAACCCUCAAUUGGUUGGGCAUGUGCUACCAUACACAAGCCUGUUGGCAAGUGGAGUCAUGGUACGUGAUAGCUUGUAAGGCUAUCAUGUAGUUCAUGUAAGCUGCAGACAAGGAAAAGCAGUGGCAGCAGGUAGGAACUCAUUUCAAAUUCUCUAUCACAACCUAUGCUACUAGGAAAAGAAUCAGCAUGGGACAUUGGCCUCAGUAGAAGGAGGCUCCUAGGAACCAAGAUGAAGUGCCAAGCCUAGGAGAAGAUACAUGAUGAAUUAGUUACUUUUCUCAUUAUCUUGAAAUAAUACUCAACAAAUGUAAGUUAGGAAGGAAAGGAUUAUUCUGCUUGUGUUUAAGGAAGGAUACAGUCCAUCAUGUGUAGGAAGCUAUGACUGCAGGAGUGUGAGGUAGUUGCAAUAAUGGAAGAAGAGAGGAAAGAUGAGAGGAGGGAAGGAAAGGAGAGAGAGAG